GGUCGAGUAGCUCAGUUGGUAGUAGCACUAGACUGAAAAUCUAGGUGUCACUGGUUCAAUUCCGGUCUCGACCACCA
rnacentral:tRNA from 1 species